UACCAGCACCCCGAGUGGUCGGGACGUUUUAUUGGGCCUAAAGCAUCCGUAGCCGGUCCUACAAGUCUUCCGUUAAAUCCACCUGCUCAACAGAUGGGCUGCGGAAGAUACUAUAGGGCUAGGAGGCGGGAGAGGCAAGCGGUACUCAGUGGGUAGGGGUAAAAUCCUCUGAUCCAUUGAAGACCACCAGUGGCGAAGGCGGCUUGCCAGAACGCGCUCGACGGUGAGGGAUGAAAGCUGGGGGGAGCAAACCGG
rnacentral:rRNA from 1 species